rnacentral:rRNA from 1 species
ACGAACGCUGGCGGCAGGCUUAACCCCUGCCAGUCGCGCGCAUCCUUCGGGGUGAGCGGCGGACGGGUGAGUAACGCGUGGGAACGUGCCCUCUUCUACGGAAUAGCCUCGGGAAACUGAGAGUAAUGCCGUAUACGCCCGCAAGGGGAAAGAUUUAUCGGAGGAGGAUCGGCCCGCGUUGGAUUAGGUAGUUGGUGGGGUAACGGCCUACCAAGCCGACGAUCCAUAGCUGGUUUGAGAGGAUGAUCAGCCACACUGGGACUGAGACACGGCCCAGACUCCUACGGGAGGCAGCAGUGGGGAAUCUUGGACAAUGGGGGCAACCCUGAUCCAGCCAUGCCGCGUGAUCGAUGAAGGCCUUAGGGUUGUAAAGAUCUUUCAGCUGGGAAGAUAAUGACGGUACCAGCAGAAGAAGCCCCGGCUAACUCCGUG